GAGCUUUUUCAUAUCCGUUGUCGACAUUGAGUAUUAGUAUUGUUCAACUAAAAACCCUAAUUAAAGCUGCCAUUAUGCCUUUAUCAAAACACAUAUAUUUAAUUAAUAAAUAUGGUAACAAAAGUAAAUAACAAGCUAACAUACAGUUGAGUACAGUCGGUCACUGCGCUAGCAAAUCUGAACAUGCAUUUUCAACAGAGCAUUUUGAAUUCGAAAUUGGAAUUAAAUAAUAAGAAUAAUCGACCAUAAAAUGAGCGAUAUAUUCAUAGUGUUAAUAUCAGGAACAGUGCUAUCUAUAGUGUGUGUGAUAGUGUUGCUAACAACAUGGUGUCUCCUGCCGAAGUGGCGCACACUUCAGAACUACAUCAGCGUGAACCAAGUUAUAACUGGAACUGUGUACUUGUGUGUUGAAAUCACUUUCGCGUUCUGUGAUGACUGUGACACAAUCACGUUUGUAAUCAAUAUUUUUCUCCUGGCAUCUGUAAGCUGGUCUCUCUGUGCUUCAUUGCUGGCUUACUUGAGACUUGUUUUAGUCUUUGGCGGAACUAUAAGCGGUGAAAAGAGAACAGUUACGGCGAUUGCUUAUGGUCUAACUGUUUUGACCAUGGGUAUAUCUUAUGGAAUAGUCCCUAACAUAAUGAAUGUUGUACCCUAUAUGGAGAUUGUGUUGGCGCCAUUCUUCUUGAUGCUAAGUAUAAAUUUUAUGAUAUUUAUAAGAAUUGUAAUAUACGUAUUAUCAUGUUGUACGGUAAAGUUGUCGAGAAGAAAAUUCAGUCACGUGGUAGCUCUGAUAGGAGUAGGGUUGAUAUGCGAUUCGAUCUUAUUUGUAAUAGUGACAAUUUUGAUUCUAUUUCAAGAUUACAGUAAAAGUUAUACUUUCGAUAUUGGACAGUUCUUUUUUACACACAGGCUUGUCUUUCAAAGCAUGUGUGUCUUAUUCAGGAAGUCUACGAGAAUGCAUUGGAAAAAAUACUUGAUGAGACGAAGGAAUAUAAAUAGUUUUACACAUCGUAAUUAUUAUAAUGGCUGUCAUGACACAAGGGUCUAGGUCACAGGUCAGUUGGAUUUCACAAACUUUUACAAUAUGUAUGUAAUUUAAUUAUUUAUUUUCAAAAUAUUGAGUGACCUUAUGUGCUUUUUGGUGCCAAAUUUUAAUAUACUACUAAUUAGCAAUCUAGAGCAUAAAAAUUCAGGAAUUUCGUUAAUUUAUUUUAUUUAUAUCAUGUAAUUAAAAUUAAUGAAUACUACUUAUCACUUGCAGACAAAAAUAAAAAAUGUACAAAUCACAAAAGUUAUAUAGCUUGUAAAGUUAGUAUGUACAAUUAAUUCGGAAAUAAACCGUUAUUAAAAUGAGUCUCUUUUUUAUGUUAAUAUCAGGAACAGUACUAUCUAUAGUGUGUGUGAUAGUGUUGCUAACAACGUGGUGUCUCCUGCCGAAGUGGCGCACACUUCAGAACUACAUCUGUGUGAACCAAGUUGUAACUGGAACUGUGUACUUGUGUUUAUUGGCACUUAUGCCUUUUUACAGGCCAGAUGAGAUGAUUACUAUGAUUCCAUAUUUCCUCUUAAUAUCGAUAUGCUGGUCACUUUGUUCUUCAUUACUGGCUUAUCUGAGACUCGUUCACAUCUACGUUGUAAAAAUAAGCGCUGAGAAGAGAAAAGCAACAGCGUUCACUUACGGAGUAACUGCAGUUAUUAUAGGAGUUUGCGAUGGAUUUGUUUCUAACAUUUUUACUCUAAAAUCCUAUGAAAAUUCUGUUAUUUUACCAUUGGUUUUAUUGACUACAGUUAAUUUCAUGAUAUUUAUAAGAAUUGUAUUGUCUGUACUAUCAUGUUGUAAGCAGAGUGCAUCAAGAAGAAACUUUGGCCAUGUUGUUUCACUGAUCGGCGUUGCAUUGUUUUGCGAUUCUAUUUUAUUUUUAAUAGGGGUUAUUUUAACUACUCCUACUAUUAAUCGUACCUUUAUAUACGAUACCGUUCUAUUUCUAUUCACACACAGACUGAUACUCCAGAGUAUAUGUUUGUUAUUCAGGAAAUCAUCGCGAAUACUUUGGAAGCAUUACUUGAAGAAACGAAGAAGAAAUGUACGUUUUAGUUACGUGUUACAUCGUCAUGAUUUACCCGUGAAUGUCAAUACAAGGACGAUCUAAUUUAUACGCUUAUCUGAAACUGUUUUUUUAUAUAAAUAAAAGCAAUGUGUUGAAGUCAGAAUACAAGUAGACUUGUAAUUAUAUCUAUUAAAAGUUAUUUACGGUAAUAAUAAUAAAUCGACUGCAUUUACUAUGUAACGUAGAUAAUGUUCGUAUGAUACGUAGGUACAUACAUUUACCUAACAUCCUAAUUAAUCACUGUAUUGUUUUCAUCGUCAUUAAAAAUGCUGCUGCAUAAAUGUGUUGUAUAAUUAUUUCUACUUAUAUGUGUACUUACUUAUAUGUAUUUCAGCGAUAAAACUGUUAACAAACGUCACAGCGUCAUUUACAAUUGAAGAUUGUCGGUCUCUGGACCAAACAAAAAGUAAGCACCACCAGAGAUUUUUUCACUCAAAAUGAAUAAUACUUUAAUCGAUUAUACCUGUAUAUCUGGGUCAGUAUUAUCCACGGUGUGUGUCAUAGGAUUGUUAAUAACAUGGUGUCUCUUGCCACAGUGGCGCACACUUCAGAACUUCAUCAGCGUGAACCAAGUUAUAACUGGAACUUUGCACCUGUGUCUAAAAACUGUGACAGCAGUGUGUCCCGCCAGUGAGACAAUGACUAUUUCAAUUUAUUUUUUUCUGAUGGCAUCUGUAAGCUGGUCACUUAGUGCUUCAUUUUUGGCUUAUUUAAGACUUGUUUUUGUCUUUGGUGGAACUAUAAGCGGUGAGAAAAGUGUCACUACGGCGAUCACUUAUGCGAUAACAGUUCUUGCUAUUGGUAUAUGUUGCGUAAUCAUUCCUAACAUAAUGAAUUUAAAAGUCUAUCACGAUCUUAUAUUCGUUCCUCUGUUUCUGAUACCAAACAUUAAUGUAAUGGUAUUUAUAAGAAUUGUUAUUUUCGUGUUGUCAUGUUGUAAGCAUAAGAUGUCGAAAAGGAACUUCAAUCAUGUGGUAGCAUUGAUCGGAGUUGCAUUUUUGUGUGAUUCAAUAUUAUUGGUGUUGAUUGGUACUUUAGAUCUUAUUGAGACGUGUUUUGACUUCAAUUUAGAUUUAGGUAUGUUGUUUUUCACCCACAGACUUGUUAUACAAAGUGUGUGUGUAUUAUUAAGGAGAACAACGAGAAUGCAUUGGAAACAUUUUUUGAAAAGACGAAGGAAUAUAAACAGUAAUAAUGCACUGAUGAAGUAUUAAGCGUAGGUAUUAACGUCAUCACUAUAUUUGAAAGGUAUGGUAAACUGAUCAUCAUAUUUAAGUAAAUCAUUUGGAAAUAUGAAGUUAAAAAGUUUUUUGUGUGCAAAUGCACUGCGCCGAGUUCUUUCAUAUCUGUUGUCGACAUUGAGUAUUAGUAUUGUUCAACUAAAAACCCUAAUUAAAGCUGCCAUUAUGCGUUUAUCAAAACACAUAUAUUUAAUUAAUAAAUAUGGUAACAAAAGUAAAUAACAAGCUAACAUACAGUUGAGUACAGUCGGUCACUGCGCUAGCAAAUCUGAACAUGCAUUUUCAACAGAGCAUUUUGAAUUCGAAAUUGGUAUUAAAUAAUAAGAAUAAUCGACCAUAAAAUGAGCGAUAUAUUCAUAGUGUUAAUAUCAGGAACAGUGCUAUCUAUAGUGUGUGUGAUAGUGUUGCUAACAACAUGGUGUCUCCUGCCGAAGUGGCGCACACUUCAGAACUACAUCAGCGUGAACCAAGUUAUAACUGGAACUGUGUACUUGUGUGUUGAAAUCACUUUCGAAUUCUGCGAUGACUGUAACACAAUUAUGUUUGUAUUCAAUGUUUUUCUCCUGGCAUCUGUAAGCUGGUCUCUCUGUGCUUCAUUGCUGGCUUACUUGAGGCUUGUUUUAGUCUUUGGCGGAACUAUAAGCGGUGAAAAGAGAACAGUUACGGCGAUUGCUUGUGGUCUAACUGCUUUGAUCAUGGGUAUAUCUUAUGGAAUAGUCCCUAACAUAAUGAAUGGUAUACCCUAUACGGAGAUUGUGUUGGCGCCAUUGUUCUUGAUGCUAAGUAUAAAUUUUAUGAUAUUUAUAAGAAUUGUAAUAUACGUAUUAUCAUGUUGUACGGUAAAGUUGUCGAGAAGAAAAUUCAGUCACGUGGUAGCUCUGAUAGGAGUAGGGUUGAUAUGCGAUUCGAUCUUAUUUGUAAUAGUGACAAUUUUUAUUCUAUUUCAAGAUUACAGUAAAAGUUAUACUUUCGAUAUUGCACAGUUCUUUUUUACACACAGGCUUGUCUUUCAAAGCAUGUGUGUCUUAUUCAGGAAGUCUACGAGAAUGCAUUGGAAAAAAUACGUGAUGAGACGAAGAAAUAUUAAUAGUUUUACACAUCGUAAUUAUUAUAAUGGCUGUCAUGACACAAGGGUCUAGGUCACAGGUCAGUUGGAUUUCACAAACUUUUGCAAUAUGUAUGUAAUUUAAUUAUUUAUUUUCAAAAUAUUAAGUGACCUUAUGUGCUUUUUGGUGCCAAAUUUUAAUAUACUACUAAUUAGCAAUCUAGAGCAUAAAAAUUCAGAAAUUUCGUUAAUUAAUUUUAUUUAUAUCAUGUAAUUAAAAUUAAUGAAUACUACUUAUCACUUGCAGACAAAAAUAAAAAAUGUACAAAUCACAAAAGUUAUAUAGCUUGUAAAGUUAGUAUGUACAAUUAAUUCGGAAAUAAACCGUUAUUAAAAUGAGUCUCUUUAUUAUGUUAAUAUCAGGAUCAGUGCUAUCUAUAGUGUGUGUGAUUGUGUUGCUAACAACAUGGUGUCUCCUGCCGAAGUGGCGCACACUUCAGAACUACAUCAGCGUGAACCAAGUUAUAACUGGAACUGUGUACUUGUGUUUAUUGGCACUUAUGCCUUUUUACAGUCCAGAUGAGAUGAUUACUAUGAUUCCAUAUUUCCUCUUAAUAUCGAUAUGCUGGUCACUUUGUUCUUCAUUACUGGCUUAUCUGAGACUCGUUCACAUCUACGUUGGAAAAAUAAGUGCUGAGAAGAGAAAAGCAACAGCGUUCACUUACGGAGUAACUGCAGUUAUUAUAGGAGUUUGCGAUGGAUUUGUUUCGAACAUUUUUACUCUAAAAUCCUAUGAAAAUUCUGUUAUUGUACCAUGGGUUUUAUUGACUACAGUUAAUUUCAUGAUAUUUAUAAGAAUUGUAUUGUCUGUACUAUCAUGUUGUAAGCAGAGUGCAUCAAGAAGAAACUUUGGUCAUGUUGUUUCACUGAUCGGCGUUGCAUUGUUUUGCGAUUCUAUUUUAUUUUUAAUAGGGCUUAUUUUAAUUACUCCUACUAUUAAUCGUACCUUUAUAUACGAUACCGUUCAAUUUCUAUUCACACACAGACUGAUACUCCAGAGUAUAUGUUUAUUAUUCAGGAAAUCAUCGAGAAUACUUUGGAAGCAUUACUUGAAGAGACGAAGAAAUGCACGUUUUAGUUACAUUUCACAUCGUCAUGAUUUACCCGUGAAUGUCAAUACAACGACGAUCUAACUGAUACGCUUAUCCUAUAGUGUUUUUUUUUAUGUAAAUAAAUGUACCAUAUCACCUUGAACUUAUUAUUUAUGUACAAAAAAUAUAGGCACCUACACAGCAACAUGGCGAGAAUCGUUAGAUGAAAGCAGAUCCUUACUAUCAAAGCAGUCAUAAUCACAAAUAAAUGAUUGUAACAACCAUAGACUAAUGCACGAGCAAUAAAAGGGACUACUUUUUUGUAUCAUUUAGUGUUAGUAUAAUAAGUACAUAUACAGAUUGGUUAUUCUGUUAGUUAGGAUUAGGUAAUCUUUUUAAAAUUCACCCUGGAAUAUCAUAAAGUAUAUGUGAUAGGAAUUAAUGUGAUUAUGAACGACACACCCGAUAUAGUAGUACAAACUUAUUAUGUAAUAAUAACACGUUUAAGGCCGAUAUCGGCCACGGUGGCUGUACUCUAUAAGGAGAACAGCCAGCUGCGCAGGAAAUAUAGUGCACAAGCAUUUGCGCAGACACGAGUGCACUCACUAUUCCUUCACUCUCAUAGCCCUCGGAAGGCUAAUCCGAGACUGCUAGAGAGAGAUCAGGCGCCGGACCAGCAUUAUCGCGCUCUCCGAUGCACGGGUGAAUCAAUCACCCUUCCAGACUAUGGGUAGCUUCAUGAAAGUUUACCAAAGUCACAAAGCGAUUUCGGCCCGUCCUGAACUCGAACCAGAAUUAAACCCGAGACCGAAUCAGUCAGGCAGUCCAAUUAUUUAGCAGAUAUUAUAUACAUAGCAGCAUUUAUUCUAUCGCACACUUAUUAAAGAACCCUAAUCCUAAGCCAAGUUAUGUGCGAUUGUAAUAUAUUAAUCAGCACAACAACACAGGAAUUUUGUUAAUUAAUUUCAACUUUACGUCAUUAAAAUUCACGAUUACUACUUAUCACUUGUAGGAAAAAAAUACAAAGCGUUCUAAUCACUACAGUUAUGUAGCUUGUUCAGUUAGUACCUUAAAAAAAUAAAGUCGGAAACGAAUCAUUUUUAAAGUAUGCAUCGUGACACAAUAAAUUUAAUAUCAGGAACAGUACUUUCUAUAGUGUGUGUGAUAGUGUUGCUAAUAACAUGGUGUCUCCUGCCGAAGUGGCGCACACUUCAGAACUACAUCAGCGUGAACCAAGUUGUAACUGGAACUGUGUACUUGUGUUCAUUGGUACUCGGUCCUUUUUACGACUCAACAACAACUAUUCACUUACAAAUUAUUAUAUAUUUGCACUUGCUAUCGAUAUGCUGGUCACUUUGUUCUUCAUUACUGGCUUAUUUGAAACUCGUCCUCAUUUACGUUGGAAAAAUAAGUGCUGAGAAGAGAAAAGCAACAGCGUUCACUUACGGAGUAACUGCAGUUAUUAUAGCAGUUUGCGAUGGAUUUGUUUCUAACAUAUUUGUUCUCAAACCCCAUGAUAUACUUAUUAGUCUAUUAUUUUUAUUGACUACAGUAAAUUUCAUUAUAUUUUUGAGAAUUGUAAUGUCUGUACUAUCAUGUUGUAAGCAGAGUGCAUCAAGAAGAAACUUUGGUCAUGUUAUUUCACUGAUCGGCGUUGCAUUGUUUUGUGAUUCUAUUUCAUUUGUAAUAUGGAUUAUUUUAAUUACUCAUGGGCGUAGUCGUACCUUUGUGUAUAGAAUCUUUCAAUUUUUAUUGACACAUAGAUACGGACUCCAGAGUGUAUGUUUGUUAUUCAACAAGCCAUCGAGAGUACUUUGGAAGCAGUAUUUGAAGAGACGAAGAAAUGUACGUUUAAGUUACAUUUCACAUCGUCAUAAUUUACCCUUGAAUGUUAAUACAACGUCGAUCUAACUGAUAGGCUUGUCUUAUAAUUAGUGCCUUUUUUAAUACUGUGCUAUAUAACGAAUUUUUAAACGCUUUUUGUAUUUUUUUAAAAGAUAGUUAUCAUUUUCUUUGUAAAUAUUUUUAGUACUGUAAAUAGUUAUAUACAUAAAGGAUAAAUCAGUGUUACGAGUUGUUCUGUUGAUAUUUAUGUACGUUAUUUUACUUGUGAACUUCCAUUAAAAUUUUAUAUCGAAAUUAA
rnacentral:misc_RNA from 1 species